CAACAGGGAUUGCCUUAGUAACGGCGAGUGAAGCGGCAACAGCUCAAAUUUGAAAUCUGGCUCUUUCAGAGUCCGAGUUGUAAUUUGCAGAGGGCGCUUUGGCUUUGGCAGCGGUCCAAGUUCCUUGGAACAGGACGUCACAGAGGGUGAGAAUCCCGUACGUGGUCGCUAGCUAUUGCCGUGUAAAGCCCCUUCGACGAGUCGAGUUGUUUGGGAAUGCAGCUCUAAAUGGGAGGUAAAUUUCUUCUAAAGCUAAAUAUUGGCCAGAGACCGAUAGCGCACAAGUAGAGUGAUCGAAAGAUGAAAAGCACUUUGGAAAGAGAGUCAAACAGCACGUGAAAUUGUUGAAAGGGAAGCGCUUGCAGCCAGACUUGCUUGCAGUUGCUCAUCCGGGCUUUUGCCCGGUGCACUCUUCUGCAGGCAGGCCAGCAUCAGUUUGGGCGGUGGGAUAAAGGUCUCUGUCACGUUCCUUCCUUCGGGUUGGCCAUAUAGGGGAGAUGUCAUACCACCAGCCUGGACUGAGGUCCGCGCAUCUGCUAGGAUGCUGGCGUAAUGGCUGUAAGCGGCCCGUCUUGAAACACGGACCAAGGAGUCUAACAUCUAUGCGAGUGUUUGGGUGUCAAGCCCGAGCGCGUAAUGAAAGUGAACGGAGGUGGGAACCCGCAAGGGCGCACCAUCGACCGAUCCUGAAGUUUACGGAAGGAUUUGAGUAAGAGCAUGGCUGUUGGGACCCGAAAGAUGGUGAACUAUGCUUGAAUAGGGUGAAGCCAGAGGAAACUCUGGUGGAGGCUCGCAGCGGUUCUGACGUGCAAAUCGAUCGUCAAAUUUGGGCAUAGGGGCGAAAGACUAAUCGAACUAUCUAGUAGCUGGUUCCUGCGA
rnacentral:rRNA from 1 species